rnacentral:rRNA from 1 species
CCUACGUGAUGCAGCAGUGGGGAAUAUUGGACAAUGGGGGGAACCCUGAUCCAGCGACGCCGCGUGAGUGCAGAAGUAUUUCGGUAUGUAAAGCUCUAUCAGAAGGGCAGAAAGAAAUGACGGUACCUGACUAAGAAGCACCGGCUAACUCCGUGCCAGCAGCCGCGGUAAUACGUAGGGGGCAAGCGUUAUCCGGAUUGACUGGGUGUAAAGGGAGCGUAGACGGUGAUGCAAGUCUGAAGUGAAAGGCGGGGGCGCAACCUCCGGACUGCUUUGGAAACUGUAUGGCUGGAGUGCAGGAGAGGUAAGUGGAAUGCCUAGUGUAGCGGUGAAAUGCGUAGAUAUUAGGAGGAACACCAGUGGCGAAGGCGGCUUACUGGACUGUAACUGACGUUGAGGCUCGAAAGCGUGGGGAGCAAACAGGAUUAGAUACCCUGGUAGUC